rnacentral:rRNA from 1 species
UACGUAGGGGGCAAGCGUUGUCCGGAAUUAUUGGGCGUAAAGAGCGACGCAGGCGGCUUGGCAAGUCGGGUGUGAAAUCCCGGGGCUCAACCCCGGGACUGCAUUCGAUAGCUGUCAGGCUAGAGGUAGGUGAGGGGAGAUCGGGAAUUCCUGGUGUAGCGGUGAAAUGACGCAGAUAUCAGGAGGAACACCGGUGGCGAAGGCGGAUCUCUGGGCCUUACCUGACGCUCGAGGCGACGAAAGCUAGGGGAGCGAACAGG